UUGUCCUACGGGGCGCAGCAGUAGGGAAUCUUCGGCAAUGGGCGAAAGCCUGAUCGAGCAACGCCGCGUGAAUGAAGAAGGCCUUCGGGUUGUAAAAUUCUGUUAUAAGGGAAGAAAGGUGAUAGGAGGAAAUGACUAUCAAUUGACGGUACCUUAUGAGAAAGCCACGGCUAACUACGUGCCAGCAGCCGCGGUAAUACGUAGGGGGCAAGCGUUAUCCGGAUUUACUGAGUGUAAAGGGGGCGCAGACGGCGAUGCAAGCCAGGAGUGAAAGCCCGGGGCCCAACCCCGGGACUGCUCUUGGA
rnacentral:rRNA from 1 species